CUCGUUACUGGAGCCAUUGAAGGUGUUAUCCUCCCUGCUCAACCGCGUCUUCAAGAGGAUAAGCUCAUCUGCCCAUCGUCGGAAUCCCGAAUGGUGUCACCAUCGUGGCCAGGGCCCGUCCACAUCUGCCCUCCCUCUCUUGGGUCGGGCUGUCCCAGAUCCAUGGCGUCAGAAUCACAACCACUCACACCGCCUCGAUCCGCCAUCAUCUCCGUUUGCCGCCACUGGAAUGAAGAAGAAGAACGAAAGAGGGAUUUAAGGAUUUCAUACCAUCCCGUUUUAAUGUAUUUCACGAAUUGAAGAGGGUGCAUCCUUGGGGUAGUGGCUGUGAAAAUGAAAUAAAAGCCAUGGACGACCCUUGUUCAUUGUUGCCGCUGCUGGAGUGAAAGAACAAGAGAAAGGAUACGUGGUUGAAUUUAAGGAUUUGUCCCUGGCAUUUCAUGAGUGAACGGGGAGAAAGCAACCCCAUCACUAAUUUAAUAAUCCAUCUUUUAUUUAUUAAGUUUUUUUCUUUU
rnacentral:lncRNA from 1 species